rnacentral:rRNA from 1 species
CGCCCGUCGCUCCUACCGAUUGGGUGUGCUGGUGAAGUGUUCGGAUUGGCGGCCCGGGGCGGUUCUCUCCGCUCCGAGACGCCGAGAAGUUCAUUAAACCCUCCCACCUAGAGGAAGGAGAAGUCGUAACAAGGUUUCC